CGGGACGGGUGAGUAACGCGUGGGUAACCUACCCUGUACACACGGAUAACAUACGAAAGGUAUGCUAAUACGGGAUAAUAUAUUUGAGAAGGCAUCUCUUGAAUAUCAAAGGUGAGCCAGUACAGGAUGGACCCGCGUCUGAUUAGCUAGUUGGUAAGGUAACGGCUUAUCAAGGCGACGAUCAGUAGCCGACCUGAGAGGGUGAUCGGCCACAUUGGAACUGAGACACGGUCCAA
rnacentral:rRNA from 1 species